rfam:Salmo salar isolate Sally breed double haploid chromosome ssa03, whole genome shotgun sequence.
CGUACGUAAAAUGUAAGUCGCUUUGGAUAAAAGCAUCUGCUAAAUGGCAAAUU